ACCCUCUCUCUCCCCCUCUCUAUCUCUCUCAUAUAUAUAUAUAUAUAUAUAUGAUCACAUAUACAAACAGAUAAUUCUGUUAUCAAAUCCAAACCCCACUUCGGAUUCCAAGGGUUUUUUUUUUCUCUUUUUUCUUUCCCGGAACCACCAAGAAUUGGAGAGAGAUUUUCGAGAAGAAAGCAGGGGAGCUGAGAUGUUGCAGUUGUUCUUUGCGGUGGCCUUCUCGUCGGUGCCUCUGACUCUGUAUAUCCCACCUCUGAGGAGCCUCAACCUCUUUGUAGAGACCAUGGAAGAUAUAGUGAGGGAGACCAGUAUGCAUACUGACAGGCUCUAUCCCCGUGUGCGGCAGGCCUUUUUCAGGAUCCUGGACUGCAUGCUUUGUAAUAAUAUGAGGUAGAUUUGUCAGUUUUACUCACCUAAUUUAUGGGUUUUCUCGGCAUAUUUCAAGAUUUAGGACGAGGAGGAAGCCGAAUUAGGUAAGAAUUUGGAAGGCAAACAGCCUUCGUUUUCAGAGAGAGACCGGGAAGGAUGGAUGGGUGGGAAAAUGCAUAGUAUACAAGCUUUUGAAUGGGGCCUUCCUUGUAGGGUUACAAGGGCUUGGCUGUUUGUUGUUGUCUAUUCUCUGUAAGAGUGCAAACUGGGUUGAUUCCGGGUCAAGCUUUGCUUUGCCCUAGAUGAUUUUUUUCGAAUUCAAACGAAGUUACUUCAUUUAGUAAA